rnacentral:rRNA from 1 species
UACAGAGGGGGCAAGCGUUAUUCGGAAUCAUUGGGCGUAAAGGGUGCGUAGGCGGCGCGGUAAGUCGGGUGUGAAAUCUCGGAGCUUAACUCCGAAACUGCAUUCGAUACUGCCGUGCUUGAGGACUGGAGAGGAGACUGGAAUUUACGGUGUAGCGGUGAGAUGCGUAGAUAUCGUAAGGAAGACCAGUGGCGAAGGCGGGUCUCUGGACAGUUCCUGACGCUGAGGCACGAAGGUCAGGGGAGCAAACGGG